rnacentral:tRNA from 1 species
CAUUUUUGAGAAACCCAGUGUAAAUACUACAAGUAUUAUAAGGCCUGAUAAACCCUCAAAACCA